UCCGGUUUGUCACCGGCAGUCUCAUUAGAGUGCCCAACUGAAUGUGGCAACUAAUGACAAGGGUUGCGCUCGUUGCGGGACUUAACCCAACAUCUCACGACACGAGCUGACGACAGCCAUGCAGCACCUGUGUCCCGGUUCCCUUUCGGGCACCAAGGCAUCUCUGCCAAGUUCCGGGCAUGUCAAGGGUAGGUAAGGUGGGGAUGACGUCAGUGCUUGCCU
rnacentral:misc_RNA from 1 species